rnacentral:rRNA from 1 species
GAUGAACGCUGGCGGCGUGCCUAAUACAUGCAAGUCGAACGCAUUGUGGUUGAAAUGAUAUGAAGAACUUGUUCAGAUUUGAUUUUCAACAUUGCAAUGAGUGGCGAACGGGUGAGUAACACGUGGGAAACCUACCUCUUAGCAGGGGAUAACAUUUGGAAACAAAUGCUAAUACCGUAUAAUAAUUAAAACCGCAUGGUUUUAGUUUAAAAGAUGGUCUUGCUAUCACUAAGAGAUGGUCCCGCGGUGUAUUAGUUAGUUGGUGAGGUAAUGGCUCACCAAGACAAUGAUACAUAGCCGAGUUGAGAGACUGACCGGCCACAAUGGGACUGAGACACGGCCCAUACUCCUACGGGAGGCAGCAGUAGGGAAUCUUCCACAAUGGACGAAAGUCUGAUGGAGCAACGCCGCGUGUGUGAUGAAGGGUUUCGGCUCGUAAAACACUGUUGUAAGAGAGAAUGACAUUGAGAGUAACUGUUCAAUGUGUGACGGUAUU